rnacentral:rRNA from 1 species
AGCGAACGCUGGCGGCAGGCCUAACACAUGCAAGUCGAGCGCCGUAGCAAUACGGAGCGGCAGACGGGAGAGUAACACGUGGGAACGUGCCCUUUGGUUCGGAACAACCCAGGGAAACUUGGGCUAAUACCGGAUAAGCCCUUACGGGGAAAGAUUUAUCGCCGAAGGAUCGGCCCGCGUCUGAUUAGCUAGUUGGUGGGGUAAUGGCCCACCAAGGCGACGAUCAGUAGCUGGUCUGAGAGGAUGAUCAGCCUCACUGGGACUGAGACACGGCCCAGACUCCUACGGGAGGCAGCAGUGGGGAAUAUUGGACAAUGGGCGCAAGCCUGAUCCAGCCAUGCCGCGUGGGUGAUGAAGGCCCUAGGGUUGCAAAGCCCUUUCGGCGGGGAAGAUAAUGACGGUACCCGCAGAAGAAGCCCCGGCUAACUUCGUGCCAGCAGCCGCCGCGG